rnacentral:rRNA from 1 species
CGGCAACGGAUAUCUCGGCUCUCGCAUCGAUGAAGAACGCAGCGAAAUGCGAUACCUGGUGUGAAUUGCAGAAUCCCGUGAAUCAUCGAGUCUUUGAACGCAAGUUGCGCCCGAGACCAUUCGGUUGAGGGCACGCCUGCCUGGGCGUCACGCGUUGUGUCGC